AUACUUAACCUGGCAAGGGAGAUACCAUGAUCAUGAACAUGGUUUUCCCAGGUCAUUGCACUCCGGAUGCGCUGACCCCCGUGAUUUCCGCAAAUGUGGGAAACUCAGCUGCAUAAUUUGUGGUACUGGGGGACUUCAUUCGUGCUCUCCCCUG
rnacentral:snRNA from 1 species